UCCACUAGCAGCUUUUGGAUGAAGACGUAGAACUCUCAGCUCUGCCUGUGCCAUGCCUGCCUGAAUACUGCCAUGCUCUUGAUGAUAAUAGACUGAACCUCUGAACCUAUAAUGCUCAAGUCACCUAUGGUGACAAAUCUUUCCUGAGUCUACUGAUCAAAAUGCUAAGCUCCAUAGAAGAAUCCUCAAAGAUCUAUCAAGCAAUGUUUUAACAGCUGUCUGAAAAUCUCACAACUCACUAGGCUUGGUGGAUACAUUACCACAGUCAUCACAAAGCCUUUGUGGUAUGAGCAAAACUGUAAGGAAAGAAGAAAGACAAGAAGGAUGGCAGACCCUAUUAGAUACCUGUUACUAUGGCAGCAAGAGGAG
rnacentral:lncRNA from 1 species